rnacentral:rRNA from 1 species
GGGGAAUAUUGCGCAAUGGGGGAAACCCUGACGCAGCAACGCCGCGUGAUUGAAGAAGGCCUUCGGGUUGUAAAGAUCUUUAAUCAGGGACGAAACAAAUGACGGUACCUGAAGAAUAAGCUCCGGCUAACUACGUGCCAGCAGCCGCGGUAAUACGUAGGGAGCAAGCGUUAUCCGGAUUUACUGGGUGUAAAGGGCGCGCAGGCGGGCCGGUAAGUUGGAAGUGAAAUCUAUGGGCUUAACCCAUAAACUGCUUUCAAAACUGCUGGUCUUGAGUGAUGGAGAGGCAGGCGGAAUUCCGUGUGUAGCGGUGAAAUGCGUAGAUAUACGGAGGAACACCAGUGGCGAAGGCGGUCUACUGGGCACCAACUGACGCUGAGGCUCGAAAGCAUGGGUAGCAAACAGGAUUAGAUACCCUGGUAGUCCAUGCCGUAAACGAUGAUUACUAGGUGUUGGGGGAUUGACCCCCUCAGUGCCGCAGUUAACACAAUAAGUAAUCCACCUGGGGAGUACGACCGCAAGGUUGAAACUCAAAGGAAUUGACGGGGGCCCGCACAAGCAGUGGAGUAUGUGGUUUAAUUCGAAGCAACGCGAAGAACCUUACCAGGUCUUGACAUCCGAUGCAUAGCACAGAGAUGUGUGAAAUCCUUCGGGACAUCGAGACAGGUGGUGCAUGGUUGUCGUCAGCUCGUGUCGUGAGAUGUUGGGUUAAGUCCCGCAACGAGCGCAACCCUUAUUGCCAGUUACUACGUUAAGAGGACUCUGGCGAGACUGCCGUUGACAAAACGGAGGAAGGUGGGGAUGACGUCAAAUCAUCAUGCCCUUUAUGACCUGGGCUACACACGUACUACAAUGGCGUUAAACAAAGAGAAGCAAGACCGCGAGGUGGAGCAAAACUCAAAAACAACGUCUCAGUUCAGAUUGCAGGCUGCAACUCGCCUGCAUGAAGUCGGAAUUGCUAGUAAUCGCGGAUCAGCAUGCCGCGGUGAAUACGUUCCCG